GACGAACGCUGGCGGCGCGCUUAACACAUGCAAGUCGAACGGAAAGGCCUGCUUUCCCUUGUGGAUUGCGGAUACUCGAGUGGCGAACGGGUGAGUAACACGUGAGUGAUCUGCCCCCAACUUGGGUAUAAGCCUGGGAAACUGGGUCUAAUUCCCGAUAGGACUGCAGGGUGGUGCCUGUGGUGGAAAACGAUUUUCUAGUGGUUGGGGAUGAGCUCGCGGCCUAUCAGCUUGUUGGUGGGGUAAUGGCCUACCAAGGCGGCGACGGGUAGCCGGCCUGAGAGGGUGGACGGCCACAUUGGGACUGAGAUACGGCCCAGACUCCUACAGGAGGCAGCAGUGGGGAAUAUUGCACAAUGGGCGGAAGCCUGAUGCAGCGACGCCGCGUGGGGGAUGACGGCCUUCGGGUUGUAAACUCCUUUCGACCGCGAGGAAGCCACCUGGUUGGAAGGGUGGUGACGGUAGUGGUAGAAGAAGCACCGGCUAACUACGUG
rnacentral:rRNA from 1 species